rnacentral:rRNA from 1 species
AUUGAACGCUGGCGGCAGGCCUAACUCAUGCAAGUCGAACGAGUGGCGGACGGGUGAGUAAUGUCUGGGAAACUGCCUGAUGUAGGGGGUUAACUACUGGAAACGGUAGCUAAUACCGCAUACCAUCAGAUGUGCCCAGAUGGGAUUAGCUUGUUGGUGGGGUAACGGCUCACCAUGCCGACGAUCCCUAGCUGGUCUGAGAGGAUGACCAGCCACAGUGGAACUGAGACACGGUCCAGACUCCUACGGGAGGCAGCAGUGGGGAAUAUUGCACAAUUGGCGCAAUCCUGAUGCAGCCAUGCCGCGUGUAUGAAGAAGGCCUUCGGGUUGUAAAGUACUUUCAGCGGGGAGGCGUUACCCGCAGAAGAAGCACCGGGUAAAUACGUGCCAGCAGCCGCGGUAAUUC